GACGAACGCUGGCGGCGUGCCUAAUACAUGCAAGUCGAACGCUUCUUUCCUCCCGAGUGCUUGCACUCAAUUGGAAAGAGGAGUGGCGGACGGGUGAGUAACACGUGGGUAACCUACCCAUCAGAGGGGGAUAACACUUGGAAACAGGUGCUAAUACCGCAUAACAGUUUAUGCCGCAUGGCAUAAGAGUGAAAGGCGCUUUCGGGUGUCGCUGAUGGAUGGACCCGCGGUGCAUUAGCUAGUUGGUGAGGUAACGGCUCACCAAGGCCACGAUGCAUAGCCGAACUGAGAGGGUGAUCGGCCACACUGGGACUGGGACACGGCCCAGACUCCUACGGGAGGCAGCAGUAGGGAAUCUUCGGCAAUGGACGAAAGUCUGACCGAGCAACGCCGCGUGAGUGAAGAAGGUUUUCGGAUCGUAAAACUCUGUUGUUAGAGAAGAACAAGGACGUUAGUAACUGAACGUCCCCUGACGGUAUCUAACCAGAAAGCCACGGCUAACUACGUG
rnacentral:rRNA from 1 species